rnacentral:lncRNA from 1 species
GGUACGGCCCUGUGAUGGGCUAGCGUCCUGGGUACGGCCCUGUGAUGGGCAAGCGUCCUGGAUACGGCCCUGUGAUAGGCCGGCGUCCUGUCCAGGGGUACGGCCCUGUGAUAGGCUGGCGUCCUGUCCAGGGGUUAAGGCCCUGUGAUAGGCCAGCAUCCUGUCCAAGAGGUGGUACUUGUACAUCAAGCUGCCUCUCACUACAGAAACAGGAGGUAGACUCCUGCCCUAUGGGCCGUUCUCAUCAAGCUGCCUCUCACUACAGAAACAGGAGAUAGACUCCUGCCCUAUGGGCCGUUCUCAUCAAGCUGCCUCUCACUACAGAAACAGGAGAUAGACUCCUGCCCUAUGGGCCGUUCUCAUCACGCUGCCUCUCACUACAGAAACAGGAGAUAGACUCCUGCCCUAUGGGCCGUUCUCAUCAAGCUGCCUCUCACUACAGAAUCAGGAGAUAGACUCCUGCCCUAUGGGCCGUUCUCAUCAAGCUGCCUCUCACUACAGAAACAGGAGAUAGACUCCUGUCCUAUGGGCCGUUCUCAUCAAGCUGCCUCUCACUACAGAAACAGGAGGUAGACUCCUGCCCUAUGGGCCGUUCUCAUCAAGCUGCCUCUCACUACAGAAACAGGAGGUAGACUCCUGCCCUAUGGGCCGUUCUCAUCACGCUGCCUCUCACUACAGAAACAGGAGAUAGACUCCUGUCCUAUGGGCCGUUCUCAUCAAGCUGCCUCUCACUACAGAAACAGGAGAUGGACUCCUGCCCUAUGGGCCGUUCUCAUCACGCUGCCUGAUAUUAUCUCAUAGAACAAAACGUGUCAAAUCUCCGAAACCUGUUAGCCUCAGACCGCGUUAUCCAAAACACCUCCAAAAGCGGCAUUAAAUUUCCCCCCGUAGGCUUUGAGCAACGAGCCAUUGGGACUACAAGCUGGCGAGCCCUAUAGCUCUGUUCCAAAGUCCAAUUCAUUUAUUAGUCUCUCAAAUCCGUGUAUUUCUUUACACACCUAUGACCGCAUAUUGUGUGGAAGCUCAGGGGGGGGAAGCUAAAUUCCAGACCACGAUGUCUUUCUCGCUCUCUUGUAAUAAAUGUGAUCAAAUUGGCCAAUAGGAGACUUGUUGAAUGCCUUCCAGUCCUUGUGAUAACCUCUCUCUGUCUCUCUCUCUCUCUCUGUCUCUCUCUCUGUCUCUCUCUCUGUCUGUCUCUCUCUCUCUCUUCUCUCUCCUCUCUCUCUCUCUCUCUCAGCUCGGUCUAUCCCCCCCCCCCCCAGAGCAGCAGGGUAGACCAGUCAGGCAGGCAUGGCUUCGUGUUGUGAAUGAACAACUCAGGCACGUUCUCACAUUCCUCAAGGCAAACAGCACAGAGAUUGCUGAGAUUAUCAUAAUUGUCCUAUUUCGUGCAAUAGUUCCGUAUACGCUUACCUUUCAAAAGACUACAGGCACUGGGUAGCUGUAAGUAUAAGGGUUAUUACACCAUCAUUGGAUACAAGUGUCACUAAAUGAAGACCUGAAUCAAAUGUAGCCUACAGUAGUCGCUAAUUCCUACCUUUUUGUGAUGACGACCAACUGUGAUUUGAUGCGGGGUAAAAUGACAUGGUUGCUGCACAGCCAGCCCAGCCAAUCGGAAGGCUUAUCCUGAGCAAUAACCGCUGCAACCUGGUCUCAGAGCUUUUUGUAUUAUUCUGUACGUAAAUCUGGGGAAACUCAAUUUCCUGUGUUAUUUUAUGUAUUAAUUUGUGGAUGUCUAUCACCCAUUUCGUAUGAUAUGUUACGAAAUACGAUUUGUAUUAUAUGUUACGAAUUCUAGCUCGGCUAGGGGUUUUUGAGUUAGGCUAAAGAGUUAAGUGUUAGCUAACAUGCUAAAUGGUUGCAAAGUUUCAACAAAAAAAAAAGUAGUAAGUAGAUAAAAUGCUAAAGUUGUCUGUGAUGCGAUUCGAACUCACAACCUUUCGGUUACUAGACGUUGGCUUUAUACACCCACUCAUCCGACUUCCGUUUUUUUUUUUUACCUCAAGUAAACCAUCUGUCUUAUACAACCCUAUCAAACAUGCCAUACUAAUUUUACAGUCCCGGAUUUACGUUUACUAUGUAAUGACAGUGUAUGAGACCAGGCUGUAACAACCACAUCGAUGAGAGCCGACGUGCACUUAAUAAUACCGUGCGCGAUAUGUAGGCUACGCAAACAAAGGCAACACGCCAGAAACCUUGGGACUUUUCAAAACGUACCAAGUUACUUUCAUCGAGCUUCUGAAUUCUAUAAAUGAAUUCAGAGAACAGCCAACUGUUUCGAGAGAUAAACCAACAAGUAUCAGUGAACAGGCGCUCUUUGCUUUACCAAAAAUAAUCUGGCCAGCAUUCCGGAAACAAAUGGUGACUGUGUCCCCUACUAGAGCGUUCAAUCUGUCUUUAUUUGUGCUCGGAUUGUGAAAGUCUACCGUAAUAAUCGCCCUACCCAUGUGAACUCGGUAUAAUUGAUUUAAGUAACAAAUUGUCCCCAGUAGCUGCUGAAAGAAACACAGUUGUCUGUGGGGGAGGGGUGGCCCUGGACAAACCGAGCAUGUGAGUCGUGACAUGAUCUUUCUAUGUAGAGAAAGCGCCUAGAUAAAUACAAAAAAAAAACGAAAUGUAGCCAGUAGAUGAACUAACUACCUACUGCAACAGUCUCCCACUCCAAUACUGAGCAAACAAAUAAUAAUAAUGUAGAGAUACCGUGUGUGUUACAGUGUUGCAAGCUCACCAGUUGAACAAGAAAGUGUCUCAUUGGUAAAUCAAUGCUGAUUGUUGGCUUCGUUUUUUUACAUUAUUCUGUCGGUCCAAAAUAAUGACAUCAGUUUCAGAGGAAAAAGGCCGGAUCACCUUGACUGUUAACCUUGAACCCUGAUUCCUUCCAAAAAAAUCUAACUGUAUUGGGAUAAAACUACUAAUUACCGAGGUAAUGGAUGUCCCCCAUUGUCAUUUGGCACAUUAUUUUGUUCAGAGAAAUAAAGUAAUUGAUAUUUACCAACUCUUAUCAAUGUUUUCCAUUCUGGGCUGACAGCAGAAACAAGCAUGCCAUUAUGGCAAGACAAGCACAUGUUAGUUGCAAUCCAACACCAUAUCAUGUAAAUGAUGUCCUUCAAAAUGACCUCUUUGGCAAAGGACACCGAGUCUAGCUUUCGUUGUACGUGAUCGACCCGGGUUUAAACGAAUAAUAACGGAUAGGAACAUUAUUAACGUUCACUUGACCUAAAAGUCUGAAUAUAUUUCAACUGCCUUUUUUUUUUAUUUUUUUUUUUUUUUAGACAGAACUAAUUUUCAUGACAUUUAUUUUGAAUCGUAUUCCAUCAAUAGGUUAUACGGUUAUUUUACAGAAGAGUUUUUUAUAAAUCACGUUUAAUUGAUUUGUCAUGUUUCCAUUGAAGAGUGAAUGAUCUCUACACAGCACGCUAUGGUCAAUCAAACAGGUGCUGUAUCAGGAAAUACAGAACGACUCAGGAACUCUCUGUGCCGUUACAUUAUUCUGACAAUACACGGAAACAACAGGGCUACAACUCCUAUCGUUCUUAUCCUCCAGUUCAUUUCAAGAAAAAGCGUCGAUUAAAAGUAGUUUAUUACGGAUUUAUGUACUUACACCAACUGCCACCAGUGCGUCCUAGAAAUUCCUUCUUUUCCGAAUUCCACAGAAAGCUCUUCCAUCCACCGUCUCCAUCUUUAUUUGCCGACAUCUUUUUUUUUUGCCUUUUAAUUUCCCUUUUCAAUCAAUAUUAUCUAAUGGGUGUAGGUACCCGAUUCGUGUACUGUCCCCCGGUACAGAAUAGUAAAGGACAGUUUCGUACCCGGCUCUCCUAUUGUACACCACACAUUUAGUUCUUAUGGUAUCCGACUCCGCCCGCAAACUCUUGUAAUAAGUUACCUACAAAGAGGGGGGGGCUAACUCUGACCAAUCACAAGCGGUCAUCCUUCUGCGUAAGAAUCAAGGGGGCAACAGCUAUGAUCACUGCUCUAUGAAGGCAAGACUGCUCUAUGAAGGCAAGACUGCUCUAUGAAGGCAAGACUGCUCUAUGAAUGCAAGACUGCUCUAUGAAUGCAAGACUGCUCUAUGAAGGCAAGACUGCUCUAUGAAGGCAAGACUGCUCUAUGAAGACAAGACUGCUCUAUGAAGGCAAGACUGCUCUAUGAAGACAAGACUGCUCUAUGAAGGCAAGACUGCUCCACGAGGCAAGACUGCUCUAUGAAGGCAAGACUGCUCCACGAGGCAAGACUGCUCCAUGAGGCAAGACUACUCUAUGAAGGCAAGACUGCUCCACGAGGCAAGACUGCUCCACGAGGCAAGACUGCUCUAUGAAGGCAAGACUGCUCCAUGAAGGCAAGACUGCUCCAUGAAGGCAAGACUGCUCUAUGAAGGCAAGACUGCUCCAUGAAGGCAAGACUGCUCCACGAGGCAAGACUGCUCUAUGAAGGCAAGACUGCUCUAUGAAGGCAAGACUGCUCCAUGAGUCAAGACUGCUCUAUGAAGGCAAGACUGCUCCAUGAAAGCAAGACUGCUCCAUGAGUCAAGACUGCUCCAUGAGGGUUCAAAACGAAAUGGUGUCAACUCAAAUGGUAGAAUUAUUAAACCCGAAAUAGAAUUAAAACAAUUCUAUGUUGAUGUCAUAAACUCGGAAACAUUAUAUUACCAUUCUUGGAGUUCUAUUAUCACAUCGCAGGUUUAAAAAGUAAUUAUAUUUCUCAGGAGUCAACUUUGUACUUUAGUACAUUUGAUUAUAAUUGUUGCUAAAUAUCACAUCCAUAAAAUUAAUUGUUUAUUAAGGGGGGGGGAAAAACAUCUUAUUCAAUAUUUUUUUUUUUAAGGUAGACUUAAAUAAUUACUUUGCCAAAUUGCUCUGUGAGAAUAAGACGGUAUUGAAAUUAAUUUAUACUCUUAAGCUUUUAAAAUGUUGUUGAAUGUUAAAACGCUG